rnacentral:rRNA from 1 species
CGGGACACGUGGUAUCCUGUCUGAAUAUGGGGGGACCAUCCUCCAAGGCUAAAUACUCCUGACUGACCGAUAGUGAACCAGUACCGUGAGGGAAAGGCGAAAAGAACCCCGGCGAGGGGAGUGAAAAAGAACCUGAAACCGUGUACGUACAAGCAGUGGGAGCACGCUUAGGCGUGUGACUGCGUACCUUUUGUAUAAUGGGUCAGCGACUUAUAUUCUGUAGCAAGGUUAACCGAAUAGGGGAGCCGAAGGGAAACCGAGUCUUAACUGGGCGUUAAGUUGCAGGGUAUAGACCCGAAACCCGGUGAUCUAGCCAUGGGCAGGUUGAAGGUUGGGUAACACUAACUGGAGGACCGAACCGACUAAUGUUGAAAAAUUAGCGGAUGACUUGUGGCUGGGGGUGAAAGGCCAAUCAAACCGGGAGAUAGCUGGUUCUCCCCGAAAGCUAUUUAGGUAGCGCCUCGUGAAUUCAUCUCCGGGGGUAGAGCACUGUUUCGGCAAGGGGGUCAUCCCGACUUACCAACCCGAUGCAAACUGCGAAUACCGGAGAAUGUUAUCACGGGAGACACACGGCGGGUGCUAACGUCCGUCGUGAAGAGGGAAACAACCCAGACCGCCAGCUAAGGUCCCAAAGUCAUGGUUAAGUGGGAAACGAUGUGGGAAGGCCCAGACAGCCAGGAUGUUGGCUUAGAAGCAGCCAUCAUUUAAAGAAAGCGUAAUAGCUCACUGGUCGAGUCGGCCUGCGCGGAAGAUGUAACGGGGCUAAACCAUGCACCGAAGCUGCGGCAGCGACGCUGAUGCGUUGUUGGGUAGGGGAGCGUUCUGUAAGCCUGUGAAGGUGUGCUGUGAGGCAUGCUGGAGGUAUCAGAAGUGCGAAUGCUGACAUAAGUAACGAUAAAGCGGGUGAAAAGCCCGCUCGCCGGAAGACCAAGGGUUCCUGUCCAACGUUAAUCGGGGCAGGGUGAGUCGACCCCUAAGGCGAGGCCGAAAGGCGUAGUCGAUGGGAAACAGGUUAAUAUUCCUGUACUUGGUGUUACUGCGAAGGGGGGACGGAGAAGGCUAUGUUGGCCGGGCGACGGUUGUCCCGGUUUAAG